GUCCUGUCUGAAAAAGGAUCCUUCGGAGAGAGCGAGUGCUGAAGAACUCCUGCAGCACCCAUUCGUCACCCAAAUACCACCUAAGAAGAUCGUCAGGGCUGAGAUAGAAGAACAUCUCCGGACUCUGCAGAACUUGCCGGCCAAGAAAGGACUGAAGGGAGUUGCUCUCUCAAAGCUGCGGCGUGCUUGUGACUUCUGCACACAGACAUCGGCAGAACAAGAAGCAGCUCUGCAAAUGGCCCUGGAAGGCUUCUCCUGUUAUUGAUAUUGUGGCCAAUAACAUCAACAGCCCAGAAUCAGUUUCCUAAAUCACAGCCAAGGAAAAAGAAACAUCCACAGGAUCCAGUGGCGUCUGCAGCUCCACCAGCAACAUCUCCUUUCAAGCUGAUGCAGUUCAGCAAGUGGUAACUUCAAGAUUCCUGCAAC